CUACGGGCUGCAGCAGUGAGGAAUAUUGCACAAUGGGGGGAACCCUGAUGCAGCAACGCCGCGUGGAGGAUGACGCAUCUCGGUGUGUAAACUCCUUUUAUAUGUCAAGAAAAUGACGGUAGCAUAUGAAUAAGCACCGGCUAACUCCGUGCCAGCAGCCGCGGUAAUACGGAGGGUGCAAGCGUUAGUCGGAAUCACUGGGCGUAAAGGACGCGUAGGCGGGUUGGAAAGUCAGGUGUGAAAUCCUACAGCUUAACUGUAGAACUGCACUUGAAACUUCUAAUCUAGAGUAUGGGAGGGGGAGAUGGAAUUAGUGGUGUAGGGGUAAAAUCUGUAGAUAUCACUAGGAAUACCUAAAGCGAAGGCGAUCUCCUGGAACAUUACUGACGCUAAGGCGUGAAAGCGUGGGGAGCAAACAGGAUUAGAUACCCUCGUAGUC
rnacentral:rRNA from 1 species